CACGUAAUUAGCCGGACCUUAUUCGUAUAGUAUUGUCAUUUUCUUCCUAUACAAAAGAUUUUUACAACCCGAAGGCCUUCUAAAUCACGCGGCGUCGCUGCAUCAGGGUUUCCCCCAUUGUGCAAAAUUCCCCACUGCUGCCUCCCGUAGGAGUCUGGGCCGUGUCUCAGUCCCAAUGUGGCCGUACACUCUCUCAAGCCGGCUACUGAUCGUUGCCUUGGUGGGCUUUUAUCUCACCAACUAGCUAAUCAGACGCAAGUCCAUCUUACACCGCUAAUACUUUGACCAUAAUUGCAUGUGCCUUUAUGGUUUUAUAGGGUAUUAUUCUUCGUUUCCAAAGGCUAUCCCCUUGUGUAAGGCAGGUUACUCACGCGUUACUCACCCGUUCGCCACUAAUCCGCUUUAAUUCUCCCCGAAGGGUUCCAUUAAAGUUUCAAUCGUUCGACUUGCAUGUGUUAUGCACGCCGCCAGCGUUAAUCUGAGCCAGGAUCGAAACUCU
rnacentral:rRNA from 1 species